ensembl:lncRNA
AGGACAGAUGCAGAGCCUCAGUCUGAUGCCAUUAAAAGGUCAUUUACCACCUUCACAAGUGCGGUCUCAGUGAUGGGGUCUAAAACCAGACUGAAGCAUUUCGUAUACAUUGUUUGGCUUCAGGAAGGCAGUGAGUUAAACCAACUGGGCUCAUAAUUUUUAUUUUUUUUCAUCUUAUUUUACCCCCUCUUCUCCCCAAUUUGGUGGUGUCCAAUUGUUAGUAGUUAGAACUACACAGUAAGUUAUCCACUGAAUGCAUUCAGACAAACUAUUUGGUCAAGCUAAUAUUUUGCUCCUUUGAGAUUUGGGUCUUUUUUUUUUUGCCUUGCAAGGGCAUCUGGGGACAAAGAUGGGCAAAGUUCUGAAACUUCUGAGAGAUUUUGCAGCACCAUAGUAUCACAAACAGUAGUUUGGCAUUAACCCUCCAGUGGCAUUCAAACUCACUGAUCAAGAAUGCACCUUAGAGUAGUUCUAAUAAUGACCUAAUGUCACACCCUGACCUGAGAUAUCUAUGUUUUCUUUAUGUUUUGGUUAGGUCAGGGUGUGAAUAGGGUGGAUACGCUAGUUUUGUAUUGUCUAGGGUUUUUGUAUUGUCUAGAGUUUUGUAGAUCUAGCUAUUUGUAUGUUUAUGGUGGCCUGAUAUAGUUCCCAAUCAGAGGCAGCUGUUUAUCGUUGUCUCUGAUUGGGGAUCAUAUUUAGGUAGCCAUUUUCCUUUGGUGUUUGUGGGUUCUUGUUCUAUGUUUAGUUGCCUGUCUGCACAAUUCAUAUUAGCUUCACGGUAAAGGACGGUAAAGGAUCCUGGACGUGGGAGGAAAUAUUGGCAGGAAAGGAAUGCAUGCCAUGGAAGCAGGGGGAGAUAGCGCAGGAGGAAAGGCGACGAUACGAGGUGACACGGUUAGCACAGAAGCCCGAGAGGAAGCCCAAGAGGCAGCCCCAAGAAAAUGUUGGUUGGCUGAGUCAGGUUGGAGACCUGAGCCAACUCCUCGUGCUUACCGUGGGGAGCGUGUGACUGGUCAGACACCAUGUUAUGCCGUGAUGCGCACGGUGUCUCCAGUUCGCAUUCAUAGCCCGGUGCGCUCUAUUCCAGCUCCUCGCAUUUGCCGGGCUAGAAUGGGCAUCCAGCCAGGACGGAUGGUGCCGGCUCAGCGCUCCUGGUCUCCAGUACACCUCCUUGGACCAGGAUAUCCUGCUCCGGCUCUGUGUAUUGUGCUUCCCGCACUCGCCCUGAGGUGCGUGUCUUCACGCC